GACGUAGGGCGCAAGCGUUGUCCGGAUUUAUUGGGCGUAAAGAGCUCGUAGGCGGUUUGUUGCGUCGGCUGUGAAAUCCCGAGGCUCAACCUCGGGUCUGCAGUCGAUACGAGCAAACUAGAGUGUUGCAGGGGAGACUGGAAUUCCUGGUGUAGCGGUGAAAUGCGCAGAUAUCAGGAGGAACACCGGUGGCGAAGGCGGGUCUCUGGGCAACAACUGACGCUGAGGAGUGAAAGCGUGGGGAGCGAACAGG
rnacentral:rRNA from 1 species